GGCGAGAUGUGUAUGGAAAUGUCCUUGAUUUGUUCCACACACUAUUUCUCAAUUUGGAAGUGGAAGGGUUUCUAAACCCUGAAAAUGAACUGGAGUUAUUCACUCUCCACUGGACCUACGUCCCACAGCUGCAGCAGCAUCUUCAGGCAUUCAAGGAAGCCUGGACUCACCAUAGUUUGAGGACAGAGAGGUUGCUGCUGAUUAUGGGAUAGACUGGACAGGACCUCACACCCCAUACCCAGAAGGCAUCACUGUACCUGAUGCACAACUACCCCAACAGCUUAUACAGGCUGAAGUUACAUCAUUGCCUGAUCCGGCCGUCCCUUUUUCUGCUGCACUACGGGCAUACAUGGAUACAGUGUAUAUUCUUAAGGACAUUUUUCAACAAACCUAGACAUAUCACAACUCACCUUAACAGAAUCAGAAUGAAACGAACAAGACUCAAAAGAAUGCUGCAAAUUUUUGGUGCAUAAUUUUAUGACCAGUUGUGAAUUUCAAAUAAAUGCCUUUGAAAACAACAAUGUACAAAGACACAGCAAAGGGAUAUAAAACUGCUUUUAUUGCAUGCUGAAUAGUUUGACAGCUUUUAAAAGCAUUAGAACAAUGUGCCAAUAAAAAGAUUUUUUAAUAGAA